AAAAAUAAAGAUGAUUUUACAUAUAGAAUCGUGUUGUUUUUGUCUUGAUAUUUUUCCCCCUCCCGUGCGCCCUCGUACACCCUAGCUUCAAGCUAUUGAACCACUGUUUUCCUGCCUCCCUCGUGGUCUCACUCAGUCUCCUGCCUCCCUCGUGGCACGGCUCCGUGCGUUGUCUGCAUAAUCGUGGUGUGCAUAUCGUUAUAGAGGUAAUCUAUUAUAUUUUCAUCUUCAUCCAAUUAAG
rnacentral:lncRNA from 1 species